GGCUCUGUAGUGAAGUUCAUAGUGAGUUGCAAGCUCAUUGAUGUGCAUUAACCGUGUACCGGAGUCU
rnacentral:tRNA from 1 species